ensembl:lncRNA uncharacterized LOC113041957
UUCUAUUUCAAAAAUAUAUUUCAUUGAGCUUCACUGUUUACAACUGUCACGGUUGCCUUCUGUGAAGAAACAAAGAACAAGGAGAUGGAGACAGAGGGAAAACAGCUUUAAGAUUACAUUUUUUUUUUUUUCCAGAUUCUCUUGGUCUGCCUAUUUGCACCAGUCCAAAACCAACCUCAGCCCCUGCAAACAAAGGUGAUGCUGAAUCUGUGAAUCCACAUGGAUUCUUCCCGUCUCCAGAGCUACUGAGGUGUUUCGUUCUGGGGUUCUUUCUUUUGAUUGCAGUCAUCACAAAUAUCCUCUUGUGUGAUCAUGAUAAAAGAAGAAAGGUGGGUGCAAACCAACAGCCCGACACCAUCCAAAGCACAACUUUUUCAAUUAAAUGUUGGCAGAAAAUAUUGUGGAGCAUCUUAUUAGCUACAUCAAGACCUUUAUUCUGAUGAAUCACACAAAACCUGCCAAGAGCAUGUCCAUAAUCAAUGGCAAAAUAAAUAAAUAAGAAAUAAUGAAUUACAUUUUACUGAAGACAAUUGAAGGACCAUUGAGAUUUACAACUGAGACAAUUGUGUGUUUCCCCUUCGCUGUUAGCUGUUAGAGACAUGAACCUGCAGACCUCAGGUGAAGGAAAAUAACUAUGCUUUCCAUCUCGUCAUGGUCAAAAACAACAGCAGUGAUGCUAAGGUUCCUGUAUCUCCUCAGCGUAUCUGAGCGCAGAGGAGCGUUGAGAGUGCAUCGUAUGACACAGACUAUGAGCAACAUGACAUCAGUCCGGAAACAGCUUUUCCUUUAUCCACUUCUCAAAACAUUGAGAAAGCAGGAGAGACCAAGGAUGGUUGUAACGUGGGGUCAGCUGUUAUUACGUUUAACCACACAGAAAUUAGGUACAGAGAUGAAAUUGCUAGCAGGGUUGAGGGGAAUUAUUUUCAAAAACAAAUUGUUUAAUGGUAACACUUUAUAGUAAAGUUCAUUUAAUAUAUAACUUUCAGUUAAUAUAUAUUGACAUAGGUAGAAAUAUGAGAUAAUUUUCUUGUUAAUGUUUACUAAUGAACGUACUUAACAUUACCUAAUGAUUAACAUAUGAUUAUUUAAUGUAAAUUGAAAUGCUCUCAAAUGUCAGUAAACGUUCAAUUCAUAUGAUCUUCAUUUUUGGGUCUUUAUACUAAUUAUUUGUUCAUGUUUUUGCAGUAACCAAUCAAAAGUGGAAACUAUUCAUCAUUUGCAAAUGUUUACAAAUGUUUACUAAUCAUUAAUACCUUUAUGAGCAGUCAUCUCAACAGCAAAAAAUAAUUCCCUAAAGACCUGAUUUUACCCAAUUCAACACAUCUCUAGUCAUCAUUUAUUAAUCAUUUGUUUAAAAAUGUAAAUAAAAUAAAAAAUCAUAAUUUGUAAAUGUUUGUAAGUGAUUACUAAUCAUUUAGUAUCUUUAUAAGCAUUGGACUUUUAGCUAAUGUAACAAGAUUUGUGUAAAGGGUGGCUGGUUAAAGAGUGGGAAGUCGUGGCCUAGUGGUUAGAGAGUUUGACUCCUAACUCUAAGAUUGGCGGUUUGAGUCUCGGGCCAGCGAUACCACGACUUGAGCAAGGCACUGACCCCCAACUGUUCCCCGGACGCCGCAGCAUAAAUGGCUGCCCAUUGCUCCGGGUGUGUGUUCACUGCUGUGUUGUGUGCACUUUGGAUGGGUUAAAUGCAGAUCAUGAAUUCUGAGUGUGGGUCAUCAUACUUGUCACUUCACUUCACUCACUCACUUUUUCACACUGGUUAAGUUUGGCUAAAUGCUUACAAAAGACAUUACAGAUUUUAAUUUUGGUGCAAAAAAUGUUUAUUGCCUCAAAACUCACUCGUCAUACUCGUCAGUAUAUCAUUAAAAAGGAUAUUCCUUAAAGGUGCAGUAGGGAACUUUUGUAAAAAAAUAUUUUUUACAUAUUUAUUAAACCUGUCAUUAUGUCCUGACAGUAGAAUAUGAGACAGAUAAUCUGUGAAAAAAAUCAAGCUCCUCUGGCUCCUCCCAGUGGUCCUAUUGCCAUUUGCAGUUACGGACCGCUCCCGGUAAGAAACAUCCAAUCAGAGCUGCGGUCCGUAACUUUGUUUGUGUUCAAAAUGUAGAAAAAUUUAUAUAAUAAGCGAGUACACCAUGAAUCCAUUUUCCAAACCGUGUUUUGGCUUGUCCUGAAUCACUAGGGUGCACCUAUAAUAAGUGUUUAUAUUCUGACUAUUUUAGAUUGCUUCGGGGAUACCGCCGCGGAGUAACCCAGUACCUUUGUGAUUCUUCAUAGACAUAAACAGAGAGAAGUAGUUCCGGCUACGAUGUUCUUCCGCAAGACGCAAGCAGUUCUGUUUAUUAACCGCUAGAGCGUCAAAAGUUCCCUACUGCAGCUUUAAAUCAGAUAUAAACAGGCGAAAGCAAAUCUUUUUUUUUAAGUAAAUACUUGUUUAUUUAUUAAAACAAUAUAAUAUAAACAGAUUGAGCCAUGUUCCCUUAUAAUAAUUAGAUUUUUAUACACUGUACAUUAUACAAUGUUAACCCUUUAACAAACCCUACCACCAAACCUGUCCCUAUCCUUACGAUAGGGUAUUUAUCAUGGUUGGGUGUAUGGUAAGUUGCUUGUAACUAUGCAUAUAGGCUACUUUACCAUACAGUACAUGUAACAUGUAUAACAAGGGUGCUGUAAAAUAUUUACUUUCAUCUGAGUAAAAUAAGAUAUUUUGAGGAAUACAGUAGCUCAAAACUGUUUGGUUACCAACAUUCUUCAAAGUAUCAUUUUUUUAAACAACAACAACAAUAAUAAUAAUAAUAAAUAAUUAUGUGGUUACAAAAAUGUCACACCAAGGCUGUAUAGGAAUGAAAUAUAUAUUUUAAAUUGAUCUAAUAUUUUUUUUGU